rnacentral:lncRNA from 1 species
AAUUCACAGCGCACGCCUGCGUAAAAAAAGCUAUUCCAACAAUACCAAAUUGUUGGGCAACAUCAAGAACCCAUGGAAGGAAAGCAUCAUAGAGUAUGCAAUCAAUAGGACGGGGUGAGUUCUUAUGCUUUAUGAUAAGUUCGGUCAAGGUUUUUGACCCAACAGUUUGUAAUCGUACAAGGUAAUCGUCAAUACUCCUAACUUCAAAGAAUCUGCCUUCAUCACAACCAUCUGAUAUCGUGUCGAAAUCGAUGUCGAAGUUGAGUAAUUCGGGUUUCAUGGUUUCGGAGAUGAAGACAGUGGUGGCAAAGGUUGCUUUGAGUCCUUUGGAGGAUAAGCGUUUGGAGAAUUGAAGCAUUGGGUUAAUAUGGCCUUGGGUCGGAUACGGAAUGACCAAUACAUGACCCCUAUUGUUAGCUUUUUUCUCCAUUUGUUUUUGUUCUCCAAUAUAAUUUAUGUUCUUCAAGAAUACUGUAGUAUGCUAUUUAUAUUGGUAGAGUGUGUAAGACCACGACUAAUCUUAAAAGGAGUGGAUGGAAAAAGGAUUAUGUCAUAUCAAUGGAUAGAGUUCUAUAGCCCCAAUUAUAGGGAAACAAAAAAAAGUAACGAGCUUUUCUUUGAGUUGUUUAUCUUCAAAACCGAUCAAAUAUAUUUUUUUAUACAAUGUAUAGAAUUAUUUAUAACCCUUAACCCUUAAAUAAGUGAAUAAACGCGUUUCAACACACUCGAACUCACAUCGUCCUACAUUGCCAAUAAUAUUCACGCCAGUCGAACCAAUACUGAAUUGACACAUAUUAAAUAUAUUUUUAAAUAUCAAUCAAUAUCAAAAUAUGAGUAAAAAAUAAAACGAUAUAUAGGUUUACAAGUGUGGAAGGAUUUUGAUCAUAGGAUCUCAAAAAAAUAUAGAUAAGAUGAUUUCAUCCACACAAAAUAUAGGCAAUAUUUUCAACUUUACACCGAAUACAAACAAUGUUCCUUGAUUGAAUCUAAAAUUAUUGAACCAUCCAUCCCUUUCAUGAUAAUGAUACCUUUUGGGUUCAAACGUUCAAUAAUUCAACAAAUAUUGUUCUACCACAUACGUAGACUUGUACAGCCCGACCCGAAGGUCUGUCCGAAAAAUGAAAAUAUUUGGAUAAAAAUAUAAGCUUAAAAGAUGAGUUUCGGCAAAAAAAUUAAGCUCGUUUAGAAAACGGGUUGAGUCCUAAGUAAAGUUUUUUUUUGCCCCGAGCUUGGCCUGGAUACAUGUCUAAAAGUAUCGAUACCCUUAACAAAGUAUUUGUACUUUCACAAAAGUAUCAAUACCCUGCCUGGUAUCAAUACCGUUUUAAGGUUAGAUGUUUUGAAAAUUAAAGAAAAAUUGCUUGAGUGUCGAUACUCUCUCUAAGGUGUCGAUACCUCAUAAUGUAUCGAGAUUAUAAGUUUUAAUACAGGUCAAGCCGGUCCGGGCCCGGGGUUAGCAUAUAUAAUCUAGGCCGGUUUGGGUAAAAAUUUACACCCAUUUUUGAGCCGAACCUAAAAUUUUGUUAAAACUCGGCUCAGCACAUGAACAACUCUAAUCACGCUAGAUUUCUAAAUAAGAAGUAAAACUCUUUUAACAUUGCUGUUUCCGUUCAUAAAAUUUGAAUUUUAAAACAAAGAUAUAAGUUUCUAAUCUCUCAACAUAAUAAGCAUUGAUAGAGACUAGGAUGAACCCUGAAAUAUUAUAAAAGAAGUCCAAAAUAUUACUAAUUAUGGCAGCAAUAGAACCACUUGUUCCCUUUGUAUCAAAUUUUCAAUUUUAUAACAUGUUCAAUUUUAUUUUUUUUACAUAUCGUAUGAAUAUUAAAAAUAUAACAUUAUAAUAUAAAUAUUAAAUAAUAUUUAAGUUUAAAUAUUAUAAAAUUCAGUCCAUGCAAAAAAUGUUUAUCUCUAUACUCAUGUUGUAAGUUCGAGUCACAAGAAUUGUUUACUGAUAGUGUGUAUAUAUAUGGCAAUGGUUUGCUACUAUCAGUGGCACGUGAGCUAUGCUAAAUAUAUAUACAAGUCAGAAUAGGGUACCUAACCAAAUUUGGAUUAAUCAUUUAUAAAUAUAAGAAAUAAAAAUAAUUGUAUAUAUGAAACUCGAUUUUGAUUUAAAUACGAAAUUCUUUGCUUAUACAAUAUGUAAAUAUAAAAUGAUAUUUUUUCGCACAAACGAAAGUUGGUGUAGUUUUGAGAUCUUUUUUCCUUUUCAUGCAACAAUUAUUGAAUAAUAUUGUUGGCUUAACUACAAUAUUAGACCCUAAAUUUUUUUUUUACUUCGUUACUUAAUUUAUUUUUUUUGUUAAAAAUAGUACCUAAACUAUCAAUUUCAUCUCAUUUUACCCAAAAUGGUGUAUGAAAUCCAAUAAAAACAUGCUAUAUGUCACAUUCUUAUUGGCCAUUGUCAUGUUUUGGAAUAAAAUGAGAUAAAAUUGAUAGCUUAGAUUUAGAGGUGCUAUGGGCCAGGUUCGGGCUAGGCAUAAGCAUGAUUUUAAUAUACUUUAUGUUUGUCCAAACCCGGCCAAGAAUAUGGGCUUAAAAUUUUGCCCAAACCCGUAAAAUUGUAAAAGGCUAACCCAAGUCCAAUUUAGCCCCGCCCAUAUUAUUUUUUUGAUUUUUUUAAAAAUAUUUAUAUUAUUUUAUCUUAUUUUAAUAUUUAAUAAUUUUAUACAUUUUUAUUUAUUGAAAAUUUUUAUAUAGUCAUCUUAACAUUAUUUUAAUGUUUACAUUAGAGUAGUAUUAUAUAUUUAGUAUAUGUUUAUUUUUUAAUGUGUUAUAAAUAACAUAAUAUAAAGUAUUAAAACCUUGAAAAUGGGUCGGGUUGGGCUUGAGCCUUGAAUAUUUAAGCCUGAGCUCGACCCAUACUUUAAACGAGCCUAAUUAUUUUUCCCAGACCUAUUUUUCGAACCUAAUAUUUUUGCUUAAACCCUCUUUACAUACAUUGUACCAAAGAGAGCUGAAUAAUCAUAUCGAUUUAAGACAUUUUGAGUGAAAUUUGUGUUUUGAUCAUAAUUGAAUCACUCUAGCUUUUACCUAUUUUCUAAUAACAUAUAAUAUGCGUUAAUGCAUAAAUCACUUCAACUAAGUCUCGAAUUUGUGAUUUUAAAUAUUUUGUUUACUAAGAACACUAACCCUAUUUACAUCGUGCCAAUAUUUUAGAGACCAAUUCAUCAAUAUUCUUGUCCGAACUUCCACCUUCACACACUGCUUCCACAGCCAAUUCCUUCCAUUUCAUAGCAUUUCUUUUCAUUUCAAUCCCUUCUUCCCCUUCCAUAACUUGUCUAAUACACCUCUCUAUUUCAUCUCCACUCACAAUCCCAUCCUCCCUCACAUUAACUCGAACCCCAACUUUCCAAACAUCCUCAACUAGCUUAGCAUCCGUGGUUUGGUCUGUCCACUGCGGCAUCGCCACCAUCGGUACCCCCAAACACAAGGCCUCAAUCGUCGAGUUCCACCCACAAUGCGUGAAAAAACACCCUAUGGCCUCAUUCGCAAGUACCUCAGUUUGUGGUAUCCAAGUAACUAUCAAUGCUUUAUCACCCAUUUCCUCAAUGAACCCGUGUGGGACUUUCGGUAACUCGGAAGACCGAACCACCCACAAGAAAUGAAACCCAGUUUGCUUUAAACCCCGUGCGAGUUCCUUCAUUUGGUCGAUGGUUAGGUUAGCCAUGCUUCCAAAUGAGACGUAAAUGACCGAGCAUGGUGGCUUGGUGGUUAGCCAACAUGUACUGGUAGAGUCUAGUUUAAAGAGAUUGAGAUCGUAAUCUUUGUCGUUUUCAAGUCUUUUAUCUAAAUACAUGGAUGGGAUUGUUGGGCCUAUCGUUAACAAUGGUUGAGUCAUCACCUUCGACAUCGAAUCAACAACCUGUUUAUAUCAAAGAGAUCAUUACAAAAUGGUAAAAGUACCUUGCAUGUCCCUAUACCACUUGAUGCAUUUUUGUUUUUAUACUUUUAAAAAUAGUAACAAUAUAAUAGUGAAAUGAUAACAAAACAAUAAAAAUCAGUGAUAAAAUAGUAACAAAAAUAUUUUUUUUACAAAUUCGUGCCGAGCCUAGGCAAAAAAAAGCUUUCCCAUUUUUCGGGAUUAUAUUUUUGCCCAAAUCUUCUCACUUUUCAAGCUGGCCUUCGAGUUGAACUGGGUGACUCGGCUCAUGGAUAAGUCUAGGUUUUAGUUAGGGUUUUGAAACCAAUUCUCUAGCUAUCACUGCCACCGGGGUGAAUAGAAAUAUUUUUUUGUCUCAAUUUGGCACUUAAGUUUAGCUUAAAUAUUCAAUUUGAUACCUAAGUUUUUUUUGUCCCAAUUAGGUAUCUAUGUUUUGCUACAAGAAAACACAUGUCAAACAUUCAUUAGCAAUAUGAUGUCAUUUGGUUUGGAUACCAAAUUGAAAAAUGAAAUUAAACUUAAAUAUCAAAUUGAAAAAAAAACCCUUAAAAUACCAAAUUUAAAACUAAACUCAAUACUAAAUGAUAUAUUAACCGCUUGAAUUUCUCAAAAAAAUAGAUAAAUUUAAUAUAAUAAUAAAAUGAAAUAUUUAAAUACUAUUAGUUUAUAUUGAUACGAUUGACAUCGACAAUUAUUAUUAAUUGAAGUUAUUAUUAACUAAGCCCAAAAAUAUUAGAGCAGAACUCAAUCAAGUCCUAAAAUUGAGAAGAAAAGAGAGAGAGAGAGAGAGAGCCUUAUAUAGUUAAAAGUAAACUAACCUCUUGUUCCAACUUGUAGAAGCUAUUAACUAAAAUGAAAUCAACUUUGUCUAUAUUAGAGAAUUGAUUCAACACCAACUCGAAAUAAGAUGGAUACGAACCCACAACAUAGAUAAAUGACGGCAUGUCUCGAAGAUCAAGCAACGGCAACCCGGGAAUGACAAUUGGCAUCAUUGACGAUGAAAUCGGAAGACUCAAAAGCCCGUUACGAGCAUAAUAAUAUAUGUAAUCCACGGCGCACGCCUGCGUAAAAAAAGCGAUUCCAACAAUACCAAAUUGUUGGCCAACAUCAAGAACCCAUGGAAGGAAAGCAUCAUAGAGUAUGCAAUCAAUAGGAUGGGGUGAGUUCUUAUGCUUUAUGAUAAGUUCGGUCAAGGUUUUUGACCCAACAGUUUGUAAUCGUACAAGGUAAUCAUCAACACUCUCGACUUGUAAGAAUCCGCCUUUAUCACAACCGUCUGAAAUUGUGUCGAAAUCGAUGUCGGAGUUGAGUAAUUCGGGUUUCAUGGUUUCGGAGAUGAAGACAGUGGUGGCAAAGGUUGCUUUGAGUCCUUUGGAGGAUAAGCGUUUGGAGAAUUGAAGCAUUGGGUUAAUAUGGCCUUGGCUUGGAUAAGGAAUGACCAAUACAUGAACCCUUUUGUUAGCUUUUUUCUCCAUUGGUUUUUGUUCUCCAAUAUAAUUUAUGAUCUUCAAGAAUAUUGGAGUAUGCUAUUUAUAUUGGUAGAGUGUGUAAGACCACGACUAAUCUUAAAAGGAGUGGAUGGGAAAAGGAUUAUGUCAUAUCAAUGGAUAGAGCUCUAUCGUCCCAAUUAUAGGGAAACAAUAAAGUAACGAGCUUUUCUUUGAGUUGUUUAUCUUCAUAACCGAUCGAGUAUAUUUUUUGAUACAAUGUAUAGAAUUAUUAAUAACUCCUAACCCUUAAAUAAGUGAAUAAACGCGUUUCAACACACUCGAACUCACGUCGUCCUACAUUGCCAAUAAUAUUCACACCAAUCGAACCAAUACUGAAUUGACACAUAUUAAAUAUAUUUUGAAAUAUCAAUCAAUAUCAAAAUAUGAGUAAAAAAUAAAACGAUAUAUAGGUUUACAAGUGUGGAAGGAUUUUGAUCAUAGGAUCUCAGAAAAAUAUAGAUAAGAUGAUUUCAUCCACACAAAAUAUAGGCAAUAUUUUCAACUUUACACCGAAUACAAACAAUGUUCCUUGAUUGAAUCUAAAAUUAUUGAACCAUCCAUCCCUUUCAUGAUAAUGAUACCUUUUGGGUUAAAACGUUAAAUAAUUCAACAAAUAUUCUUCUACCACAUACUAUACGUAGACUUGUACAGCCCGACCCGAAGGUCUGUCCGAAAAAUAAAAAUAUUUGGAUAAAAAUAUAAGCUUAAUUGCUUAUAAGAUGAGUUUCGGUAAAAAAAUAAGGCUCGUUUAGAAAACGGGUUGAGUCCUAGGUAAAGUUUUUUGGCCCCGAGCCUGGCCCAGAUACAUGUCUAAAAGCAUCGAUACCCUUAACAAAGUAUUUGUACUUUCACAAAAGUAUUGAUACCCUGCUUAAGGUUAGAUGUUUUGAAAAUUAAAGAAAAAUUGCUUGAGUGUCGAUACCCUCUCUAAGGUGUUGAUACCACAUAAUGUAUCGAGAUUAUAGGUUUUAAUACAGGUCAGGUCAGUCCGGGCCCGAGGUUAGCAUAUAUAAUCUAGGCCGGGUUUGGGUAAAAAUUUACACCCAAUUUGGGCUGAACUUAAAAUUUUGUUGAAACUCGGCCUGACACAUGGAUAACUCUAAUCACAUAUAUUUCUUUUUACCUCGUUCCGUAUUAAAUUUUGAUUAAUUUAGAGUUAAAUUUUUAAAUAAGAAGCAAAACUCUUUUAACAUCGUUGUCUCCGUUUAUAAAAUUUGAAUUUUAAAACAAAGAUAUAAGUUUCUUAUCUCUCGACAUAAUAAGCAUUGAUAGAGACAAUGAUGAAUCCAGUACAUAUUAUAAAAGAAGUCAAAAAUAUUACUAAUGGCAGCAAUAGAACCACUUGUUCCCUUUGUAUCAAAUUUUCAAUUUUAUAACAUUUUAUUUUUUAUUUUUUAUAUGUCAUAUGAAUAUUAAAAAUAUAACAUUAUAAUAUAAAUAUUAAAUAAUAUUUACGCUUAAAUAUUAUAAAAUUCAGUCCAUGCAAAAAAUGUUUAUCAGGAAUUUUGAGAACUCUUUACAUCCAUUGUACCAGAGCCGAAUAAUCAUAUCGAUUUAAGAAAUUUUGAGUGAAAUUUGUGUUCAAUUUGAUCAUAAUUGAGUCACUCUAGUUUUUACCUAUUUUCUAAUAACAUAUAAUAUGUGUUAUUGCAUAAAUCAAUUGAACUAAGUCUCGGAUUUGUGAUUUUAAGUAUUUUGUUUACUAAGAACACUAACCCUAUUUACAUCGUGCCAAUAUUUUAGAGACCAAUUCAUCAAUAUUCUUGUCCGAACUUCCACCUUCGCACACUGCUUCCACAGCCAAUUCCUUCCAUUUCAUAGCAUUUCUUUUCAUUUCAAUCCCUUGUUCCCCUUCCAUCACUUGUCUAAUACACCUCUCUAUUUCAUCUCCACUCACAAUCCCAUCCUCCCUCACAUUAACUCGAACCCCAACUUUCCAAACAUCCUCAACUAGCUUAGCAUCCGUGGUUUGGUCGGCCCACUGUGGCAUCGCCACCAUCGGUACCCCCAAACACAAGGCCUCAAUCGUCGAGUUCCACCCACAAUGCGUGAAAAAACACCCUAUGGCCUCAUUCGCAAGUACCUCGGUUUGUGGUAUCCAAGUAACUAUCAAUGCUUUAUCACCCAUUUCCUCAAUGAACCCGUGUGGGACUUUCGGUAACUCGGAAGACCGAACCACCCACAAGAGAUGAAACCCAGUUUGCUUUAAACCCCAUGCGAGUUCCUUCAUUUGGUUGCUGGUUAGGUUAGCCAAGCUUCCAAAUGAGACGUAAACGACCGAGCAUGGUGGCUUGGUGGUUAGCCAACAUGUACUGGUAGAGUCUAGUUUAAAGAGAUUGAGAUCGUAAUCUUUGUCGUUUUCAAGUCUUUUAUCUACACACAUGGAUGGGAUUGUUGGGCCUAUCGUUAACAAUGGUUGAGUCAUCACCUUCGACAUUGAAUCAACAACCUGUUUAUAGCAAAGAGAUCGUUACAAAAUGGUAAAAGUACCUUGCAUGUCCUUAUACCACUUGCUGCAUUUUGGUUUUUAUACUUUUAAAAAUAGUAACAAUAUAAUAGCGAAAUAAUAACAAAUCAAUAAAAAACAGUGAUAAAAUAGCAAAAGCUUUUUUUUUUACAAAUUCGUGCCGAGCCUAGGCAAAAAAAAGCUUUCCCAUUUUUCGGGCUUAUAUUUUCCCAAAAUCUUCUCACUUUUCGGGCUGCCCUUCGGGUUGAACUGGGUGACUCGGCCCAUGUAUAAGUCUAGGUUUUAGUUAGGGUUUUGAAACCAGUUCUCUAGCUAUCACUACCACCCGGGUGAAUAAAGAUUUUUUUUGUCUCAAUUUGGUACUUAAGUUUGGCUUAAAUGUUCAAUUUGAUACCUGAGUUUUUUUUUUGUCCCAGUUAGGUAUUUGUGUUUUUCUACAAGAAAACACAAGUCAAAGAUUCAUUAGGCAAUAUGAUGUCAUUUGGUUUAAAUACCAAAUUGAAUAUUGAAAUUAAACUUAAAUAUCAAAUUGAAAAGAAAAAAACUUAAAUACCAAAUUUGAAACUAAACUUAAUACUAAAUGAUAUAUUAAACGCUUGAAUUUCUAGAAAAAAAGAUAAAUUUAGUAUAAUAAUAAAAUGAAAUAUUUAAAUACUAUUAAUUUAUAUUGAUACGAUUGACAUCGAAAAUUAUUAUUAAUUGAAGUUAUUAUUAACUAAGCCCAAAAUUAUUAGAGCAGAACUCAAUCAAGUCCUAUAAUUGAGAAGAAAAUUGAGAGAGAGAGAGAGAGAGAGCUUUGUAUAGUUAAAAGUAAACUAACCUCUUGUUCCAACUUGUAGAAGGUAUUAACUAAAAUGAAAUCAGCUUUGUCUAUAUUAGAGAAUUGAUUCAACACCAACUUGAAAUGAGAUGGAUACGAACCCACAACAUAGAUAAAUGAUGGCAUGUCUCGAAGAUCAAGCAACGGCAACCCGGGAAUGACAAUUGGCAUCAUUGACGAUGAAAUCGGAAGACUCAAAAGCCCAUUAUGAACAUAAUAAUAUAUGUAAUCCACAGCGCACGCCUGCGUAAAAAAAGCGAUUCCAACAAUACCAAAUUGUUGGGCAACAUCAAGAACCCAUGGAAGGAAAGCGUCAUAGAGUAUGCAAUCAAUAGGAUGAGGUGAGUUCUUAUGCUUUAUGAUAAGUUCGGUCAAGGUUUUUGACCCAACAGCUUGUAAUCGUACAAGGUAAUCGUCAAUAUCCCCGAGUGCGAAGAAUCCCUCUUUAUCACAACCGUCUGAUAUCGUGUCGAAAUCGAUUUCGGAGUUGAGCAAUUCGGGUUUCAUGGUUUCAGAGAUGAAGACAGUGGUGGCAAAGGUUGCUUUGAGUCCUUUGGAGGAUAAGCGUUUGGAGAAUUGAAGCAUUGGGUUAAUAUGGCCUUGCGUCGAAUAAGGAAUGACCAAUACAUGACCCCUUUUGUUAGCUUUUUUCUCCAUUUGCUUUUGUUCUCCAAUA